GACGAACGCUGGCGGCGUGCUUAACACAUGCAAGUCGAACGGAAAGGCCCUUCGGGGUACUCGGGUGGCGAACGGGUGAGUAACACGUGGGUGAUCUGCCCUGCACUUUGGGAUAAGCCUGGGAAACUGGGUCUAAUACCGGAUAGGACCACGCGCUUCAUGGUGUGUGGUGGAAAGCUUUUGCGGUGUGGGAUGGGCCCGCGGCCUAUCAGCUUGUUGGUGGGGUAAUGGCCUACCAAGGCGACGACGGGUAGCCGGCCUGAGAGGGUGACCGGCCACACUGGGACUGAGAUACGGCCCAGACUCCUACGGGAGGCAGCAGUGGGGAAUAUUGCACAAUGGGCGCAAGCCUGAUGCAGCGUCGCCGCGUGAGGGAUGACGGCCUUCGGGUUGUAAACCUCUUUCGCCAGGGACGAAGCGCAAGUGACGGUACCUGGAGAAGAAGGACCGGCCAACUACGUGCCAGCCGCCGCCGUAA
rnacentral:rRNA from 1 species